AGCGAACGCUGGCGGCAGGCUUAACACAUGCAAGUCGAGCGGGCACUUUCGGGUGUCAGCGGCGGACGGGUGCGUAACGCGUGGGAACGUGCCCUCUGGUUCGGAAUAACUCAGGGAAACUUGAGCUAAUACCGGAUACGCCCUUUUGGGGAAAGGCUUGCUGCCGGAGGAUCGGCCCGCGUCUGAUUAGCUAGUUGGUGAGGUAACGGCUCACCAAGGCGACGAUCAGUAGCUGGUCUGAGAGGAUGAUCAGCCACACUGGGACUGAGACACGGCCCAGACUCCUACGGGAGGCAGCAGUGGGGAAUAUUGGACAAUGGGCGCAAGCCUGAUCCAGCCAUGCCGCGUGAGUGAUCAAGGCCUUAGGGUUGUAAAGCUCUUUUAUCCGGGACGAUAAUGACGGUACCGGAGGAAUAAGCCCCGGCUAACUUCGUG
rnacentral:rRNA from 1 species